GAACCGGACAAACGGUUAUUCGGAAUUAUUGGGCUUAAAGGGUGCGUAGGCGGCGCGGUAAGUGAGGUGUGAAAGCCCACGGGCUCAACCGUGGAAUUGCGCUUCAUACUGCCGUGCUAGAGGGAGACAGAGGUAAGCGGAACUGAUGGUGGAGCGGUGAAAUGCGUUGAUAUUAUCAGGAACACCGGUGGCGAAGGCGGCUUACUGGGUCUCUUCUGACGCUGAGGCACGAAAGCUAGGGUAGCGAACGGGAUUAGAUACCCCGGUAGUCCUAGCUGUAAACGAUGAGCACUUGGUUGGGGAACCUCCCAUAGUUUCCCGACCGAAGCGAAAGUGUUAAGUGCUCCGCCUGGGGAGUAUGGUCGCAAAGGCUGA
rnacentral:rRNA from 1 species